UACGUAGGGAGCAAGCGUUGUUCGGAAUUACUGGGCGUAAAGAGUGUGUAGGCGGUGCUCUAAGUUCGGGGUGAAAUCUCCGGGCUUAACUGGGAGGGUGCGCCGGAAACUGGAGUGCUCGAGCGUGGGAGAGGAAAGCGGAAUUCCUGGUGUAGCGGUGAAAUGCGUAGAUAUCAGGAGGAACACCUGCGGUGUAGACGGCUUUCUGGACCAUUGCUGACGCUGAGACACGAAAGCGUGGGUAGCAAACAGG
rnacentral:rRNA from 1 species